rnacentral:rRNA from 1 species
UACGUAGGGUGCGAGCGUUAAUCGGAAUUACUGGGCGUAAAGCGUGCGCAGGCGGUUUUGUAAGCCAGAUGUGAAAUCCCCGGGCUUAACCUGGGAAUGGCAUUUGGGACUGCAAGGCUUGAGUGCGGCAGAGGAGACUGGAAUUCCUGGUGUAGCAGUGAAAUGCGUAGAUAUCAGGAGGAAUACCGAUGGCGAAGGCAGGUCUCUGGGCUGACACUGACGCUCAUGCACGAAAGCGUGGGGAGCAAACAGGAUUAGAAACCC